rnacentral:misc_RNA from 1 species
GAUGAAGAACGUAGCGAAAUGCGAUAAGUAAUGUGAAUUGCAGAAUUCAGUGAAUCAUCGAAUCUUUGAACGCACAUUGCGCCCGCUGGUAUUCCGGCGGGCAUGCCUGUUCGAGCGUCAUUUCAACCCUCAAACCCCCGGGUUUGGUGUUGGGGAUCGGCUCUGCCUCACGGCGGUGCCGCCCCCGAAAUACAUUGGCGGUCUCGCUGCAGCCUCCAUUGCGUAGUAGCUAACACCUCGCAACUGGAACGCGGCGCGGCCAUGCCGUAAAACCCCAACUUCUGAAUGUUGACCUCGGAUCAGGUAGGAAUACCCGCUGAACUUAAGCAUAUCAAUAAGCGGAGGA